UAUGUGUAUUGGUGAUUCAGAGUUCCUCGCCCCCUGGCAUUUCCGGUUCAGUUUCAGUUCCCGGUUGAGUUCCCGGUUCAGUCCAGGUACGUUGAGGCUUUGCUCAGGGUGUAAUGAGGUGAACAUCUCAAGGCUAAUUUGUUUAUUAUAGUUUUGGAGCGGCGCUGGGGGCGCGUGCGUUCAGUGAUAGUAACAUUAGCCGCGCGUGCGUAAUCAUACAACUUCGUGUCUGGUGUUUGUUCAACCCAAUAGAGCUGUUUAGCUGCCUCUAUUUCAUGUGGUGGUGUCAGUGGGCCUGAGUGUUCUAGCCACCACAUCACAGUGUCUGUAAUAUUUUAGUUUUUCUUUCUUUGCUUAUUGUUUAGUGUAUUGUGUAAUUCUGGGUUAAUUGGUGUUUUUCUUUCUCUCCAGGAGCCAGUGAGUCUUGGUGGACAGAGGGAAGCUAGCUGCCUUCAUUCGGUGGUGUGUGCUUCACAGCGUGCUCAGUGUCCCGGCACAACAACUUCCUUGUGGUGUAGGUAGUGUUUAAUGAUUUGGUUUUAAUUAAGGUGGGUUUGGAUGACCUCCCAGGAAGUAGCUGGCCUGCGUUGUUCCCACCAAGCCUGGGCCUGGAGAAUUGCUUAGUUUUAAAAUUCUUUUUGUGCUUCAUGGGAGAGCGACUUUAUAUUUAUAAGUUUUAAUGAUGCUUAAGUGUGAUAAUAAAAUGUAACUUUUAUUGAUA